GUGAUGAUCAACAGCACACGAUUUUAAGCAUCUCUAUGAUUGGGGCCUAGAGAAGGUUGUGCAACUCGGAAGUGGAGAAGGUGCUCAGUUUUAGCUGUGUAUAUGGCCAUCCAGUACAAAGACUACGUUUUCCAGCUUCCCUUGCAACUUUGUGUAUAUGUCUAAGUUCUAGCUAAUAAGAGCUGACAGGAAGUGUGAGAGACUCUUCUCCUCUUUGCUCAUUUUUUUCUGAUUGGAAUGCAGAUGUGAAGGCCGGUUCCUGGCAACCAUUUUAGAUCAUUUGGCAGAUGUUAAAAAUGAGUAGAGCAGCAAGACAGAAGGAGCCUGGGAUACCGGUGAUUGUGGAGCCAUAGCACCACCCUUGGUUUGCCUAUUUUCAGACUUACUUCUAGAUGGGGAAGACAAGUAUCCAAAAUCACCUACACUUUCUGAAGGCUGAAAAACUCCAGCCAGAUUAUGUAAUGGCUUUACUGAAUAAGCAGAAG